rnacentral:lncRNA from 10 species
AAGCAUCUGGAAGGCAGAGACUGAACGUGAGCCACAUUUCUGUCCUCAACAUCUCCUAGGAUGCCUGGUGCAGAGCUGGCACUCAAUUCAGACCUGUAGACAAGCAUGACACCAUCUAUGUUUACCAAAGACUGGGAUAAAACCGCAACUCAGCAUUUGAGGUCCACCCUGAGCACUGGAGGUUCUCCAAGUACUUCCUCCUUCUGCCUCUCAGUACAGAUCGCGUCUUCUAGGUGUGCUGUGCACAUUCCAUCACCCACCUUCUGGCUCAUCGCACUUGCUCUGCUUCCAGUGAGUCUCACCUUCCCAAAUCCUACUCAUGCAUCCAGGCCUAUCUCAAGCCUUCCUCAUCCACUAAUGCAGACUUCUCUGAUUCCGUGAGCCUUUCCUGCCCUCUUCUUGCUUGGCCACCCAUAGGGGCCUUAUCACAAACUACUUUCUGCUGCUAGCUAUAUGCUGCACCCUGACUUUUCCCUCUGAAUUUGGAAUCGAAAUCUUCCUAUGUGGUGCUGCCUAUGGGAAGCAAAUCAACCCUCAGUGGAGCAGAGUGCCUGGGGUCAAAUUCCAGCUCUACUGCUUAUUACAUUCACCGCCUUGGAGUCCCCAACUGCAGAACCCACCAGGAGGC